UACACAGGGUGCGAGCGUUAAUCGGAGUUACUGGGCGUAAAGGGCGCGUAGGCGGUUUAAUAAGAUUGAUGUGAAAGCCCUGGACUUAACCUAGGAACUGCAUCGAUGACUGUUAAGCUAGAGUAUUGUAGAGGGUAGUGGAAUUUCCGGUGUAGCGGUGAAAUGCUUAGAGAUCGGAAGGAACACCAGUGGCGAAGGCGGCUACCUGGACAAAUACUGACGCUGAGGCGCGAGAGCGUGGGGAGCAAACAGG
rnacentral:rRNA from 1 species